UACGGAGGGAGCGAGCGUUGUCCGGAAUCACUGGGCGUAAAGGGCGCGUAGGCGGCCGGGUAAGUCGCGUGUGAAAGGCCGGGGCUCAACCCCGUGUAUGACACGCGAAACUGCCUGGCUGGAGAAAGGUAGGGGCGAGCGGAAUUCCCGGUGUAGCGGUGGAAUGCGUAGAUAUCGGGAGGAACACUCGUGGCGAAGGCGGCUCGCUGGGCCUUUUCUGACGCUGAAGCGCGAAAGCGUGGGGAGCAAACAGG
rnacentral:misc_RNA from 1 species